UGGAUUGAUGAUGGCCACUCGUGGCACAUUUGAGCUACAAAUAGUGACUAAGUCUCUGAGGUCCAC
ensembl:snoRNA Snord113l4 small nucleolar RNA, C/D box 113 like 4